AGUGAACGCUGGCGGCGUGCUUAACACAUGCAAGUCGAACGAGAACGGGAUAUAGCUUGCUAUAUUUGUCAGCUAAGUGGCGCACGGGAGAGUAAUGUAUAGAUAACCUGCCCUCUAGAAAGGAAUAACAGUUGGAAACGACUGCUAAUGCCCUAUAUGUCUUUAAUACAUAAGUAUGCAAGGGAAACGCUUUAGUGCUAGAGGAUGGGUCUGUAUGGUAUCAGCUUGUUGGUGAGGUAAUGGCUCACCAAGGCAAUGACGCCUAACUGGUUUGAGAAGAUGAUCAGUCACACUGGAACUGAGACACGGGCCAGACUCCUACGGGAGGCAGCAGUGGGGAAUAUUGCACAAUGGACGAAAGUCUGAUGCAGCAACGCCGCGUGGAGGAUGACACAUUUCGGUGCGUAAACUCCUUUUAUAUAGGAAGAUAAUGACGGUACUAUACGAAUAAGCACCGGCUAACUCCGUGCCAGCCGCCGCCGUAA
rnacentral:rRNA from 1 species